CAUAUAUAUAUAAAUAUCAGAGGCCCCGAAGGGGUUGCCGGCGCGGCCCCUCAAGCUCAGGCCGCAGUCUCCGCCCCGCGGCCCCACACUCACGUCACCCAGGUGGAGGGCGUUGACCUGGGCCUGGACCAAGGGCGGCUGCGGGGACCCAGGCUGUGCGUGCGCUUCCCUCUCCGGCGCCUGGCGGGGAGGUGCGGCGCGAACCCGGCGGGCGCGGCCGUCAGCAGCGGGAAGCGGCCUCCCCAGGGCGGCCACGGCCCCACUCGCGGCCCCACACGCGGCCCCACACGGGCCGUCGCUCCCCACCGCGCGCCAGGGCGGCCCGGCCCCCUGCGUCUCCCGGCGGGCCUUGCGGCGGCGGCCUCCGCGCGAGGGGCCCCGAGGCCGCCUGGGCCCCGGAAGGCCGCGCGGACGCGCCCGGAAGCCGGAAGCCGGAAGCCCGCGCCGGACCCGGAGCCGCGUGCGCGGUGGGCGGCGACGGCAGAAGCUUCGGGAAGGCGCCCGCGGAGGCGCAGAGGCUCUCCGGGGAGGCCCCACUACCCCGACGGGUCGCCGAAGCCGGCGCGGGACACGCAGUCGUCCCCUGAGGGGGCAGAGAUUGAGAGACAUGUUGCCUCAAAGUCAGGACUCUUCUGCAAUAAAACGUAAAGAAGAGCUCACACAGAAAACAAGCCUCUGAGUCCUACAAGAAAUCAGGCAAAUGGGUCACAGGUAAUUUAACAUUUUAAAUCUCCCUCUUUCAUGUUUAUGUGUUUUUCGUGGCGUCUGACUUUAGGCAACAUCAGUAGGAAGAGAUCGUAUUUAGAGGAA
rnacentral:lncRNA from 1 species